rnacentral:lncRNA from 1 species
GAUCUAUAAUGAGGGCCCUCAUGGGGUUUUUGAUUAUGUGAUUACUUGGCUGUUUUUUUAAUGAUUAUUUGAUUAUUAAGCCAAAUAUUUCAUGAUUAUUUGAUUACCUAGGACUGUAUUUUUAGUUUAUGAUUAUUUGAUUACUAAAGAUAAGCAAAUAUUUAAUGAUUAUGUGAUUAUAUUGGCAAAAAAAUGGUGAUUAUGUGAUUACUAGGACCCCCCCCCCCCCCCCCCAUGAGGGGCCUCUAUAAUAUGAU